rnacentral:rRNA from 1 species
AUUGAACGCUGGCGGCAGGCCUAACACAUGCAAGUCGAACGGUAACAGGAAGAAGCUUGCUUCUUUGCUGACGAGUGGCGGACGGGUGAGUAAUGUCUGGGAAACUGCCGGAUGGAGGGGGAUAACUACUGGAAACGGUAGCUAAUACCGCAUAACGUCGCAAGCCCAAAGAGGGGGACCUUCUGGCCUCUUGCCAUCGGAUGUGCCCAGAUGGGAUUAGCUAGUACGUGGGGUAACGGCUCACCUAGGCGACGAUCCCUAGCUGGUCUGAGAGGAUGACCAGCCACACUGGAACUGAGACACGGUCCAGACUCCUACGGGAGGCAGCAGUGGGGACUAUUGCACAAUGGGCGCAAGCCUGAUGCAGCCAUGCCGCGUGUAUGAAGAAGGCCUUCGGGUUGUAGAGUACUUUCAGCGGGGAGGAAGGGAGUAAAGUUAAUACCUUUGCUCAUUGACGUUACCCGCAGAAGAAGCACCGGCUAACUCCGUG